rnacentral:piRNA from 1 species
AGGUCGGAACUCUGGAAGAGGAGUC